GACGAACGCUGGCGGCGUGCCUAAUACAUGCAAGUAGAACGCUGAAGAGAGGAGCUUGCUCUUCUUGGAAGAGUUGCGAACGGGUGAGUAACGCGUAGGUAACCUGCCUUGUAGCGGGGGAUAACUAUUGGAAACGAUAGCUAAUACCGCAUAACAAUGGAUGACACAUGUCAUUUAUUUGAAAGGGGCAACUGCUCCACUACAAGAUGGACCUGCGUUGUAUUAGCUAGUAGGUGAGGUAACGGCUCACCUAGGCGACGAUGCAUAGCCGACCUGAGAGGGUGAUCGGCCACACUGGGACUGAGACACGGCCCAGACUCCUACGGGAGGCAGCAGUAGGGAAUCUUCGGCAAUGGGGGCAACCCUGACCGAGCAACGCCGCGUGAGUGAAGAAGGUUUUCGGAUCGUAAAGCUCUGUUGUAAGUCAAGAACGAGUGUGAGAGUGGAAAGUUCACACUGUGACGGUAGCUUACCAGAAAGGGACGGCUAACUACGUGCCAGCAGCCGCGGUAAUACGUAGGUCCCGAGCGUUGUCCGGAUUUAUUGGGCGUAAAGCGAGCGCAGGCGGUUUGAUAAGUCUGAAGUUAAAGGCUGUGGCUCAACCAUAGUUCGCUUUGGAAACUGUCAAACUUGAGUGCGGAAGGGGAGAGUGGAAUUCCAUGUGUAGCGGUGAAAUGCGUAGAUAUAUGGAGGAACACCGGUGGCGGAAGCGGCUCUCUGGUCUGUAACUGACGCUGAGGCUCGAAAGCGUGGGGAGCGAACAGG
rnacentral:rRNA from 1 species